CGGUCAUACAGGACAUCAACGAGGUGAGAGAGAGAGACAGGUUGUGUGUUAGAGCUGAGACGAUGAACGGUCAUACAGGACAUCAACGAGGUGAGAGAGAGACAGGUUGUGUGUUAGAGCUGGGACGAUGAACGGUCAUACAGGACAUCAACGAGGUGAGAGAGAGACAGGUUGUGUGUUAGAGCUGGGACGAUGAACGGUCAUACAGGACAUCAACGAGGUGAGAGACAGACAGGUUGUGUGUUAGAGCUGAGACGAUGAACGGUCAUACAGGACAUCAACGAGGUGAGAGAGAGACAGGUUGUGUGUUAGAGCUGGGACGAUGAACGGUCAUACAGGACCUCAACGAGGUGAGAGAGAGACAGGUUGUGUGUUAGAGCUGGGACGAUGAACGGUCAUACAGGACCUCAACGAGGUGAGAGAGAGACAGGUUGUGUGUUAGAGCUGGGACGAUGAACGGUCAUACAGGACAUCAACGAGGUGAGAGACAGACAGGUUGUGUGUUAGAGCUGGGACGAUGAACGGUCAUACAGGACAUCAACGAGGUGAGAGAGAGACAGGUUGUGUGUUAGAGCUGAGACGAUGAACGGUCAUACAGGACAUCAACGAGGUGAGAGACAGACAGGUUGUGUGUUAGAGCUGGGACGAUGAACGGUCAUACAGGACCUCAACGAGGUGAGAGAGAGACAGGUUGUGUGUUAGAGCUGAGACGAUGAACGGUCAUACAGGACAUCAACGAGGUGAGAGAGAGACAGGUUGUGUGUUAGAGCUGGGACGAUGAACGGUCAUACAGGACAUCAACGAGGUGAGAGAGAGACAGGUUGUGUGUUAGAGCUGGGACGAUGAACGGUCAUACAGGACCUCAACGAGGUGAGAGAGACAGGUUGUGUGUUAGAGCUGGGACGAUGAACGGUCAUACAGGACAUCAACGAGGUGAGAGACAGACAGGUUGUGUGUUAGAGCUGGGACGAUGAACGGUCAUACAGGACAUCAACGAGGUGAGAGAGAGAGACAGGUUGUGUGUUAGAGCUGGGACGAUGAACGGUCAUACAGGACAUCAACGAGGUGAGAGACAGACAGGUUGUGUGUUAGAGCUGAGACGAUGAACGGUCAUACAGGACAUCAACGAGGUGAGAGAGAGAC